rnacentral:rRNA from 1 species
GAUGAACGCUGGCGGCGUGCUUAACACAUGCAAGUCGAGCGAAGCACUUGCCAUUGACUCUUCGGAAGAUUUGGCAUUUGACUGAGCGGGCGUACGGGUCGAAGGUACGCGUAGGGUAACCGUGCCUCAUACAGGGGAAUAACAGUUAGAAAUGGCUGCUAAUGCCGCAUAAGCGCACAGGACCGCAUGGUCUGGUGUGAAAAACUGAGGUGGUAUGAGAUGGGCCCGCGUCUGAUUAGGUAGUUGGCGGGGUAACGGCCCACCAAGCCGACGAUCAGUAGCCGACCUGAGAGGGUGACCGGCCACAUUGGGACUGGAGACACGGCCCAG